GUCAGUUGGCUAGCCACUGGGAUUCUUUUAAAGGUAGCUAGUAUGUAGAAGAACAAAGCCUGGGGCCCUGAGAUAAAUGGAAUGCCAUUUUUAUGCAUGGCAUCCAUUUUGAUUUCGCAGCUGUCCUUUUGAUGCUGAUUCUAGUAAUUCUGAAAAGCUUCAUUAAUAAGCUAUCACCGCACAGAGGUAAAAAAUGGCCAGCUGAGGGCUGAGCUGAAGAGAGCCCAAGAAGGAACUCUGACCGGCGGUCAUCAUCCUCGUGAAAGGCUUCCUUCCAAAUCUCUAUAUUUAUUUGCAUUAUUUUCUACUUUCCCCUUUCCACUAAAUAACUUUUAAAACGCACGAAUCAUUUACACCAGCUGACUUCAACCUACUCUUGGAAGGCCAGCUGCAGCCCCACAGAUCCUACGAACAUGGCCUCCAGAACUGAGAUCAGUUUGUCCACUGCGAUGAAUUAUGCAUUACUGCCAGGCUAUUUCUUGGCAUGAAAAGAUGUGAUAUGUCAGAUUAAAAUUAAAUAUUGA
rnacentral:sRNA from 1 species